rnacentral:rRNA from 1 species
GACGAACGCUGGCGGGCGUGCUUAACACAUGCAAGUCGAACGGAGUGCUCAUGACAGAGGUUUCGGUCCAAUUGAUUGAGUUACUUAGUGGCGGACUGGCGAGUAACGCGUGAGGAACCUGCCUUUCAGAGGGGACGAACAGUUGGAAACGACUGCUAAUACCGCAUGAUACAUUUGGGCGGCAUCGCUUGAAUGUCAAAGAUUUUAUCGCUGAAAGAUGGCCUCGCGUCUGAUUAGAUAGUUGGCGGGGUAACGGGCCCACCAAGUCGACGAUCAGUAGCCGGACUGAGAGGUUGACCGGCCACAUUGGGACUGAGAUACGGCCCAGACUCCUAGGGGAGGCAGCAGUGGGGAAUAUUGGGCAAUGGACGCAAGUCUGACCCAGCAACGCCGCGUG